rnacentral:rRNA from 1 species
GAUCAUGGCUCAGGAUGAACGCUAGCGGCAGGCUUAACACAUGCAAGUCGAACGGUAACAUUGGUGCUUGCACCAGAUGACGAGUGGCGCACGGGUGCGUAACGCGUAUGCAAUCUACCUUUUACUGAAGAAUAGCCCAGAGAAAUUUGGAAUAAUCCUUCAUAAUAUCAUUUAUCAGCAUUGAUUUAUGAUUAAAGCUCCGGCGGUAAAAGAUGAGCAUGCGUCCUAUUAGUUUGUUGGUGAGGUAACGGCUCACCAAGACUACGAUAGGUAGGGGCCCUGAGAGGGGGAUCCCCCACACUGGUACUGAGACACGGACCAGACUCCUACGGGAGGCAGCAGUGAGGAAUAUUGGACAAUGGAGGCAACUCUGAUCCAGCCAUGCCGCGUGCAGGAUGACUGCCCUAUGGGUUGUAAACUGCUUUUAUAUAGGAAGAAACACUCCCACGUGUGGGGGCUUGACGGUACUAUAUGAAUAAGGAUCGGCUAACUCCGUGCCAGCAGCCGCGGUAAUACGGAGGAUCCAAGCGUUAUCCGGAAUCAUUGGGUUUAAAGGGUCCGCAGGCGGCCUGUUAAGUCAGAGGUGAAAGCCAACAGCUCAACUGUUGAACUGCCUUUGAUACUGAUAGGCUUGAGUUAUUGUGAAGUGGUUAGAAUGUGUGGUGUAGCGGGUGAAAUGCUUAGAUAUCACACAGAAUACCCAUUGCGAAGGCAGAUCACUAACAAUAUACUGACGCUCAUGGACGAAAGCGUGGGGAGCGAACGGGAUUAGAUACCCCGGUAGUCCACGCCGUAAACGAUGGAUACUAACUGUUCGACCUUCGGGUUGAGUGGUCAAGCGAAAGUGAUAAGUAUCC